AUUUACAACCACUGUAAGUUGAGCUGGCAACCAACAUGACGUCAUAAAUUGGCGGACAUAUUCACGCUCAUUUACAUAUCCAUGGCCAGAAAUUGCGGACAUUGCUACUGAGCUUGCUUGGACUAUACAAUCAAACAUGGCCGCCACGCGGUAAUAGAAAUUAUAGGAGUGUAAACAAAAAAUUAAAAAUAUAGCUAUUGGUAUCCUCUAUAACGAGUUUGCACAUCUCGAGUUUGCUUCGGAAGAGCCGUCGUACUUAACUGCUACAAUUAUUUUAUCCAUAUCUCACGUUUUGUAUGUUCCAUUUUAAAACUGCUUUCAGCGAUAAUUUGGCUAGUAGAAACUAUAUCAUUUUGUCUAAAUUUGCCCAUUUAGCGAUGUUUUCGUGCCGCCGUGCAUGGUUCUUACGUUCUUGGCAACAUUUGCACAUCUCGGGUCAUUUACAACACACACCAUACUAUAUCCACAAAAAAUUUGGGAGAGAUACUCUUUGAUUCACUUGUUCCAUUUUUAUAAUGAACACUGCGAAUUUUUGAAGCUGUGACAGCAAAUUUUCAUGGCGAUAAUUUUCACGGCAAAACGAAAUUGCAGAUAAACAAGGCCAAUUUUAAGAAUGAAUCCUUCGAGUAACUCGGCCAUGUUUAGUAUCAAAAUAAAGCUUAGGAACCACGCUAUUCGAAAA
rnacentral:lncRNA from 1 species